UCUCAGUCAGUCUCAGUCAGCAGGACCAGCUAACGCACCUAGAGUCCGUCUGCCUACAGGCCGACUAGUGCCGGGUCAAUGCACACCAGCAGAGAGGGCCAUCUUAGAGAUGCUGGGGA